CCUACGAGAGGCAGCAGUGGGGAAUAUUGCACAAUGGGGGAAACCCUGAUGCAGCGACGCCGCGUGAGUGAAGAAGUAUUUCGGUAUAUAAAGCUCUAUCAGCAGGGAAGAAAAUGACGGUACCUGACUAAGAAGCCCCGGCUAACUACGUGCCAGCAGCCGCGGUAAUACGUAGGGGGCAAGCGUUAUCCGGAUUUACUGGGUGUAAAGGGAGCGUAGACGGUGAUGCAAGUCAGAAGUGAAAGCCCGGGGCUCAACUCCGGGACUGCUUUUGAAACUGUGUGACUGGAGUGCAGGAGAGGUAAGCGGAAUUCCUGGUGUAGCGGUGAAAUGCGUAGAUAUCAGGAGGAACACCAGUGGCGAAGGCGGCUUACUGGACUGUAACUGACGUUGAGGCUCGAAAGCGUGGGGAGCAAACAGGAUUAGAUACCCUAGUAGUC
rnacentral:rRNA from 1 species